CAACUCUAAGAGAGUUAUUGUUCAAAAUGAGUUGGUGUUAAUACAGGGAGUCAAAUGGCAUAAUCUGCAAACAACUCUACAGUGUUGAUUUUACACUACAGCUAGUGUUACCCAUCCCCCAGAAGGCUGCAUGUUUGAAAGAGGCGGGAGAUUGUUUCACGCAGCCAGACAAACACCUUAAGACUCUUUUCUGUGGACUGGACAUGUUCAGACAUCAUUCCAACUGUGACUAGGAUGAUACGUGUGACAAUAUGCUGGUCAAGGUGAGAUUUGGUUCAAGUCAGAAGUAUGUUAAGGUGGCAGAAACCGAAGCAGGCUAUGAAGACUACAAUACAUUUAUUGAGAGUUGUGCUUCAACCAGAUCUAGCAGAAAUUUCCUUUGAGUCGAAUGUGUCAGACACCGUAUCCUCUGUGCCUUCUGAUUCAUCUGAUGCACCAAUAACUCUUGAGAACGAUGGUGGGAGGAAAAGGACCCACGACGAUAGGGAAUCAGCUUCUACACAUUCAUCCAAACAACUGUGUUCAACAUUGAUGUGGGAAGUACCAAGGAAAGUCCUCGUGUGAAGGAGCUCAGAGCAAGACUGCUGAACACAAGUAUCUGAGGUGACGCACAUCCUUGGAUGCAAAUAUGUUGAUUUGUUGUAUCUGCAAGUUACACCACAGAAGUUCUAUGUUGCUUUGUAAGCAUUUGAGAUUUUACCAUGGUUUAUAUCCAGGAAAGACAUUACGUUUGAAAUGUGGACAGCCGGAAUGUUCUAUAUUAUUUUGCACUUAUUCAGGGUUCAAGAAACACCUUAUUCGUUUGCACCGGGACACUUUCAACAAAUACUGUCACUGACACUUCAGUGCUUAUUGUAUCAAGGAGAGGGAUGAUUCAUUUUAUGUUGUUUCUAUUGAUGAGUUGAUUUAUUAUAGACCCUAUGAUAAACAGUUAUCUAAUGAGAUGGAUGAAAAAAUAUACAUUGUGCCAUGUUGUGUGACCCAUGCUAUUGUUUUGUGUGACCUGUACUAUUGAGGCUGCCAUUUAAGAAAUGUUAUUUUAAUGCUAUGUUUGUGGUGGGCUUGAAAAUACAAUUUUAUUUGAACAAA